UACGGGGGGAGCAAGCGUUGUUCGGAUUUACUGGGCGUAAAGGGCGCGUAGGCGGCGUGACAAGUCACUUGUGAAAUCUCCGGGCUUAACUCGGAACGGUCAAGUGAUACUGUCGUGCUAGAGUACAGAAGGGGCAACUGGAAUUCUCGGUGUAGCGGUGAAAUGCGCAGAUAUCAGGAGGAACACCCGUGGCGAAAGCGGCUCUCUGGGACGGUACUGACGCUGAGACGCGAAAGCGUGGGGAGCAAACAGG
rnacentral:rRNA from 1 species